rnacentral:rRNA from 1 species
UGAGGAAUAUUGGUCAAUGGACGGAAGUCUGAACCAGCCAAGUAGCGUGCAGGAUGACGGCCCUAUGGGUUGUAAACUGCUUUUGUAUGGGGAUAAAGUUAGGGACGUGUCCCUAUUUGCAGGUACCAUACGAAUAAGGACCGGCUAAUUCCGUGCCAGCAGCCGCGGUAAUACGGAAGGUCCAGGCGUUAUCCGGAUUNAUUGGGUUUAAAGGGAGCGUAGGCUGGAGAUUAAGUGUGUUGUGAAAUGUAGACGCUCAACGUCUGAAUUGCAGCGCAUACUGGUUUCCUUGAGUACGCACAACGUUGGCGGAAUUCGUCGUGUAGCGGUGAAAUGCUUAGAUAUGACGAAGAACUCCGAUUGCGAAGGCAGCUGACGGGAGCGCAACUGACGCUUAAGCUCGAAGGUGCGGGUAUCAAACAGGAUUAGAUACCCUGGUAGUCCGCACAGUAAACGAUGGAUGCCCGCUGUUGGUACCUGGUAUCAGCGGCUAAGCGAAAGCAUUAAGCAUCCCACCUGGGGAGUACGCCGGCAACGGUG